CACACGACUCUCGGCAACGGAUAUCUCGGCUCUCGCAUCGAUGAAGAACGUAGCAAAAUGCGAUACCUGGUGUGAAUUGCAGAAUCCCGCGAACCAUCGAGUUUUUGAACGCAAGUUGCGCCCGAGACCUUCUGGUUGAGGGCACGUCUGCCUGGGCGUCACGC
rnacentral:rRNA from 1 species